rnacentral:rRNA from 1 species
AUGAACGCUGGCGGCGUGCUUAACACAUGCAAGUCGAACGAAGCACUUAUCUUUGAUUCUUCGGAUGAAGAGAUUUGUGACUGAGUGGCGGACGGGUGAGUAACGCGUGGGUAACCUGCCUCAUACAGGGGGAUAACAGUUAGAAAUGACUGCUAAUACCGCAUAAGACCACAGAGCCGCAUGGCUCGGUGGGAAAAACUCCGGUGGUAUGAGAUGGACCCGCGUCUGAUUAGGUAGUUGGUGGGGUAACGGCCUACCAAGCCAACGAUCAGUAGCCGACCUGAGAGGGUGACCGGCCACAUUGGGACUGAGACACGGCCCAAACUCCUACGGGAGGCAGCAGUGGGGAAUAUUGCACAAUGGGGGAAACCCUGAUGCAGCGACGCCGCGUGAGCGAAGAAGUAUUUCGGUAUGUAAAGCUCUAUCAGCAGGGAAGAAAAUGACGGUACCUGACUAAGAAGCACCGGCUAAAUACGUGCCAGCAGCCGCGGUAAUACGUAUGGUGCAAGCGUUAUCCGGAUUUACUGGGUGUAAAGGGAGCGUAGACGGCUGUGUAAGUCUGAAGUGAAAGCCCGGGGCUCAACCCCGGGACUGCUUUGGAAACUAUGCAGCUAGAGUGUCGGAGAGGUAAGUGGAAUUCCCAGUGUAGCGGUGAAAUGCGUAGAUAUUGGGAGGAACACCAGUGGCGAAGGCGGCUUACUGGACGAUGACUGACGUUGAGGCUCGAAAGCGUGGGGAGCAAACAGGAUUAGAUGCCCUGGUAGUCCACGCCGUAAACGAUGACUACUAGGUGUCGGGGAGCAAAGCUCUUCGGUGCCGCAGCAAACGCAAUAAGUAGUCCACCUGGGGAGUACGUUCGCAAGAAUGAAACUCAAAGGAAUUGACGGGGGCCCGCACAAGCGGAGGAACAUGUGGUUUAAUUCGAUGAUACGCGAGGAACCUUACCCGGGCUUGAAUUGCAACUGAAUGAUGUGGAGACAUGUCAGCCGCAAGGCAGUUGUGAAGGUGCUGCAUGGUUGUCGUCAGCUCGUGUCGUGAGAUGUUGGGUUAAGUCCCGCAACGAGCGCAACCCUUAUCUUCAGUAGCCAGCAUUUUGGAUGGGCACUCUGGAGAGACUGCCAGGGAUAACCUGGAGGAAGGUGGGGAUGACGUCAAAUCAUCAUGCCCCUUAUGAGCAGGGCUACACACGUGCUACAAUGGCGUAAACAAAGGGAAGCAAACCUGCGAGGGUAAGCAAAUCUCAAAAAUAACGUCUCAGUUCGGAUUGUAGUCUGCAACUCGACUACAUGAAGCUGGAAUCGCUAGUAAUCGCGAAUCAGCAUGUCGCGGUGAAUACGUUCCCGGGUCUUGUACACACCGCCCGUCACACCAUGGGAGUUGGUAACGCCCGAAGUCAGUGACCCAACCGUAAGGAGGGAGCUGCCGAAGGUGGGACCGAUAACUGGGGUG